CAGGCCUAACACAUGCAAGUCGAACGGGGUGCAUGGAGCUGAUCGCUUCGGUGUGAAGCACCAUGUUACUUAGUGGCGAACGGGUGAGUAACACAUAGAUAACCUGCCCUCAGGAUUGGGAUACUCCCGGGAAACCGGGCACAAUACCGGAUAUGAUUUCAGGGUGAAAUGCCCANGGGAUCAAAGCUGCUGGCAACAGUGGCGCCUGAGGAUGGGUCUGUGGCCUAUCAGCUAGUUGGUGAGGUAAAGGCCCACCAAGGCAAAGACGGGUAGCCGGACUGAGAGGUCGAUCGGUCACACUGGAACUGAGACACGGUCCAGACUACCUACGGGAGGCAGCAGUGGGGAAUUUUGCGCAAUGGGCGAAAGCCUGACGCAGCGACGCCGCGUGGGGGAAGAAGGCCUUCGGGUUGUAAACUCCUUUAGUACGGGAAGAAGCCGAAAGGUGACGGUACCGUAAGAAGAAGCCACGGCUAACGAUGUGCCAGCAGCCGCGG
rnacentral:rRNA from 1 species